rnacentral:rRNA from 1 species
AGCGAACGCUGGCGGCAGGCUUAACACAUGCAAGUCGAGCGGGCCUUUCGGGGUCAGCGGCGGACGGGCGAGUAACGCGUGGGAACGUGCCUUCUGGUUCGGAAUAACUCAGGGAAACUUGAGCUAAUACCGGAUACGCCCUUUUUGGGGAAAGGUUUACUGCCGGAAGAUCGGCCCGCGUCUGAUUAGCUAGUUGGUGGGGUAACGGCCUACCAAGGCGACGAUCAGUAGCUGGUCUGAGAGGAUGAUCAGCCACACUGGGACUGGGACACGGCCCAGACUCCUACGGGAGGCAGCAGUGGUGAAUAUUGGACAAUGGGCGCAAGCCUGAUCCAGCCAUGCCGCGUGAGUGAUGAAGGCCUUAAGGUUGUAAAGCUCUUUUAUCCGGGACGAUAAUGACGGUACCGGAGGAAUAAGCCCCGGCUAACUUCGUGCCAGCCGCCGCAGUAA